UGUGAGGGUUGCUGGAGGUAUCAGAAGUGCGAAUGCUGACAUAAGUAACGAUAAAGCGGGUGAAAAGCCCGCUCGCCGGAAGACCAAGGGUUCCUGUCCAACGUUAAUCGGGGCAGGGUGAGUCGACCCCUAAGGCGAGGCCGAAAGGCGUAGUCGAUGGGAAACGGGUUAAUAUUCCCGUACUUGGUGUUACUGCGAAGGGGGGACGGAGAAGGCUAUGUUGGCCGGGCGACGGUUGUCCCGGUUUAAGCGUGUAGGUGUGUGUUCCAGGUAAAUCCGGUUCACUUUAACACUGAGGCGUGACGACGAGGCACUACGGUGCUGAAGCAACAAAUGCCCUGCUUCCAGGAAAAGCCUCUAAGCAUCAGGUAACAUCAAAUCGUACCCCAAACCGACACAGGUGGUCAGGUAGAGAAUACCAAGGCGCUUGAGAGAACUCGGGUGAAGGAACUAGGCAAAAUGGUGCCGUAACUUCGGGAGAAGGCACGCUGACACGUAGGUGAAGUGAUUUACUCAUGGAGCUGAAGUCAGUCGAAGAUACCAGCUGGCUGCAACUGUUUAUUAAAAACACAGCACUGUGCAAACACGAAAGUGGACGUAUACGGUGUGACGCCUGCCCGGUGCCGGAAGGUUAAUUGAUGGGGUCAGCGCAAGCGAAGCUCCUGAUCGAAGCCCCGGUAAACGGCGGCCGUAACUAUAACGGUCCUAAGGUAGCGAAAUUCCUUGUCGGGUAAGUUCCGACCUGCACGAAUGGCGUAAUGAUGGCCAGGCUGUCUCCACCCGAGACUCAGUGAAAUUGAACUCGCUGUGAAGAUGCAGUGUACCCGCGGCAAGACGGAAAGACCCCGUGAACCUUUACUAUAGCUUGACACUGAACACUGGUCCUUGAUGUGUAGGAUAGGUGGGAGGCUUUGAAGUGUGGACGCCAGUCUGCAUGGAGCCAUCCUUGAAAUACCACCCUUUAAUGGCUGGUGUUCUAACGUAGACCCGUAAUCCGGGUUGCGGACAGUGUCUGGUGGGUAGUUUGACUGGGGCGGUCUCCUCCUAAAGAGUAACGGAGGAGCACGAAGGUUGGCUAAUCCUGGUCGGACAUCAGGAGGUUAGUGCAAUGGCAUAAGCCAGCUUGACUGCGAGCGUGACGGCGCGAGCAGGUGCGAAAGCAGGUCAUAGUGAUCCGGUGGUUCUGAAUGGAAGGGCCAUCGCUCAACGGAUAAAAGGUACUCCGGGGAUAACAGGCUGAUACCGCCCAAGAGUUCAUAUCGACGGCGGUGUUUGGCACCUCGAUGUCGGCUCAUCACAUCCUGGGGCUGAAGUAGGUCCCAAGGGUAUGGCUGUUCGCCAUUUAAAGUGGUACGCGAGCUGGGUUUAGAACGUCGUGAGACAGUUCGGUCCCUAUCUGCCGUGGGCGCUGGAGAACUGAGGGGGGCUGCUCCUAGUACGAGAGGACCGGAGUGGACGCAUCACUGGUGUU
rnacentral:rRNA from 1 species